AAAUAACCGUCACCAAAUAAUACUGAAGUAUCGACAGUGGUAUUGUUAAAGAAUCGGAUCGUUAAGCAGUCGCAAUAAGGGUAUCAAUAAAAAUUAGCAGUCCCCAUCCCUAGUGCUAAGUGUGUAAACCAGGUCUGCGUGCUGACUGCUGAAGGCAUGUCAGGAGGACGACGUCUGGCUGCUGUGCUACCUCACCCCCUCCCUCUACACCGAUACACAGAUCCAGAUCUGAAUGCUUUUCUCGGUUCAGUUCCCAGAUGAGACUCCACACAGGUAACAGCUGAUCAGGACUCGCCUCUGCAGAACCUUUAGGCUGGUUCUGCUCCAGGUUGUGUUCAGUAAGCGGGUCUCUCUUUGUUGCGGGAGCUGAUGUGCCACAUGAUGAUGGGGAGCCUGGUGAUGUUCAGGAAGAACUCUGUGCUCAACAUCCUCAGUGAGACACUCUCAGAGGGCGCCUGUCCUUGCGUUUUCUUGUGUAUCCACAGUUUAGUCUCUUGACGGGGAGACCUUCAAGCAGUACAGCUCUGGCUCACAGCAUCCCCCUGGAGACGUGCAGCACCUUAAAUAUAAAGAACACCCAGAGGCCUUGUCCUGGCUGCUGCUGCUGCUCUGCUGAGAGAAGCCCAGUGAGGAGAUGGUGAGUCGUCCCGGUCACCCUGAGGACCAGUUCACCACCAGCAUCCUGAGACACUGGGUGUCCAAUCAUGACAACACGCUGGGAGAACACAAAGGCCCAGCUGAUCAAGAACAACCAGCCUAGCAAGAGACACAGGUCAGGACAGACUGGAACAGGUGAGGAUGGACAGAUAGGACAGAGGUGAGGACGGGCUCCGGGUACCUGUGGAACAGCGGUUGUGUCUCUGUCCUCAGUCUUCGCAGUUCUAGCAGUAAACUGGCUCAGAUCCUGGAGCUCAUGGACAACCUGAAGCUGAGCAUGAGCAACACCAAGAAUAGGUGUCAGUACACACAGCCUUAUUGAUUGCUUCAGGAGGGAUUGAUAGCUGAUUGUGUCUGUCUCUGCCAAUCUUCACUCAGACCCUGAUCCUUCGGCUCUGCAGGACACUCAAGCCAGCUGUGAUGAGGUGUGCGCACAAACACACACACACACAUGCGCGCACUGACGGGCGACAUCACUGCGGCAGCUGACUCCUCCUCCUACAUGUUCAGCCACCGGUUCGCCCGGGUGGAGGAGUACGAGUACUCCCAGACCAAGCCUCCCAAGUCCCGCUGUAAGGCUCUGGCACAUUUAGAGGAAAAUAGACCAGAAAGCAGGGGAGGCUUUAGGGCGAGGCGACCUUGUGAUUGACAGGUCGGCAUGUGUGACCCAAAUACAGAUGUUCAGGAUAGAGCUGAACACCUUUUCUCCCAGCUGGACAGGUAGGCUGGAAUAAAAUAAAGCUGCCUGUUACUUUCUAUAAAUUGAACUAAAAGAAGUUCGUUUAGCUUCCUGCUCAGCUUCCAGUCUGAAGAGGAAAUGUUUAACCUGCUUCACUUCUCCAGCUGUUUGGGAAGAGACUUUUGUUGUUCUGGAGAAGCUGAAGCAUUUAUUACCUGACACACAGACACCAUACUUUUGCAGUCAGAAUAUUUCCUCCUGAGAUUCACUGUCACUUUCUGUCACUCGGACAAUCAAACACUGAGACCUCCAGAUUAAAGGAGCUGCUCUGAUAACAGCACCUGUCAGGUAGACGUCCUGCAGGGUUUCCGCAGGGGCUUAAAGUCUAAAAUUUCAAAAUCAAAAUUUAAGGCCUUAAAGUCUUAAAUUUGCUGAAGUUUGUUUUAGGUCUUAAAUAAUUUCAAACGGGUAUUUAUUUUCCAACAUCCAUGUAACUCUAAUGCUCAUUGAAAUACCCCUGCAGUGCUCGGGUGUGUGUGUCCUCCCGUGGCGGUGUAGUUCUUUGUCGCUAGUCCAAAUAUAAGUACCACAGAUAACGUCUUCAGCUAUGGCAAAGUGCAACUCUAUCGGUUCUUAGAACGGUCUUUAGCAACGUAUUUGAAGCCUACUGUCACUGCUUAAUGAAUGAGCGCCACUACUAAAAUUUCACACGAUCAUUAAUGAUUACUAAACUACAGUAACACACAACACAUGGCUGUCUCGCUCUCCUUGUUCAAAGGAUGAGCAAAUGUGAGUGUGUCAAAGUGACGGUGAAAGUUAACGGAGGACAAGAUCAGCAUUAACUUGUCAGGUUAUAGCUCUGUCCUACUGUACAUCUUGAUAGUUAAGUUAAAUUAAAAAAGGAGUGACCCACUGAGGUUAGUAACGUCAAAGCAAGUUAAGGAUGCAAACUAAUGUUAGUACUUUUAAGAUAAUGAGAUUAUUCUUUUGGAUUUUGAUGAAGGCUACAAAUGAGAUUCUUAUAGUAAGACAUGUUGCCUAUUUAUAUUAAUUUCUACAAAUGUAUAAAGCAGUAAAUUAAGAUGCAAAAGGCAAACAUGAACAGUCCUAUCUGUAAUGAUUCUGAGCUCAUGUGUUUUCCUGCCAUUAUAAGGUGGUGAGGCGCAAUGACUGUAAAAUCACUGUGGAGAGCAUCAAAACUAACAAAAUUAAUUUUCCCAGAUAUAAUGGUUAAAAUUCAACCCCAGUAGACUUAUUUAGCAAGUUUAGCUUAUUAUUGUCUUCUCCCCUGAGUUUCUCCAUCAGCAGUUGGUUAAGUUUUAUAAAGUCACCAAAAAGACACACUUGCGUAGCUUAUCAGUGUCAUUGUCCAUCCCGGUGUGUCAUUGUUGACAUUGUCCAAUGCCAAUUUUGUAGACCCCUCUCAACCCUAAUUUGAAAACAUUGAUUUACUCUGAAAGUAAUUGUGUGACUGCAUUUCCUUUUUAUGCGUUUCUUAAGUCGUGAUAGUUUUUAAAAUUUCAUUCAUAAUGGCCUUAAAAAGGUCUUAAAUUUGACCAUGUGAAACCUGCAGAAACCCUGAUUGUUCCCUUACCUCGUGUACCUUACUUAACAAUUUGCAUAGCGUGGGACUUAUAUUAAAUGAUCUUUAUUUUCUUAUGAUUCCAUAACUCCAAAUUUAAAGCUCCACUUUAUAUUUAAGUGCUGCUCAUGGAAUAACAUUAUGCAUAGUCACACUUUCCACAAAACACCGUAAAGUAAAAGGAAAUCUUGCUUAGCUCAAGAUUCAGGUUAUCAUUUAACACCAAAAAAUAUCAUUAAGAAUCUGGAAAUGGAGACUGUUCAAUAUUAUUACAAAAAAGAAUAAACAAACUGAUCAAAAUUGUUGCUGGCUAAUUAUCUGAUCAUGCAGUCACUCUUUGUAUUCAGCUUUAUGCAAGAUGUGUCUGUUAAAUGUAGAAAUGACGUAAGAUUGAGAAGAUGAUACUAAAAGAGAACUUGAAUUGUAGCAAUGUAUUUUUCAGGAUUAUCUGAAUGGCCAUUUUGUAAAUUUCAAGUUGACCAGUAGUAAUUUUGUUUGAGUGUCCAUUAGUAUUUGAGUGGUUCGCUUUCCAUUUUUUUUUUUUUUUUUUUUUUUUUGGGAGAAGAUUUCUCUGAGUAAGUUCUGCUGAAACUAAUUGAUGAAACUGCAGGCGGUGUCUGGAUUAAAAAAAAAAAACAUAGACUGGUGUUUUUGUAGUGUGCACUGUGUGGAAAAACAGACUAGGAAUGAGAAAGGUGUUAUAAAUUCAACACACAAUAUGGGGAGAACCAUACUAUACAGCACUGAAUUCUAAUGAAUCACAACUUCCUGAGUAUCACUUAAAGAAGUCCAAGUCUUUGAAGAGAGAAUGGAUUUGAAGUAAAUAGGUCAUUCACGCUUUGCAAGAUAACGAUGUAGCAUGAAUAAUUAUACACACAGAAAUGCAGCAGUAAAUGUAUUUACACUAUUUUCAACACCAGAAUGUUGAGAGAAAAGAUUAGUGCACCCUCUGUUUUUUGGGGUGAUAGUGGUCAAAUUUUUUUUCCAAGCUGAGCAUAAACUGUGUAAGGAUGCCUCUGAAUUGAUGGUGGUUCAGUGUUUGCUGACAAUAGAUCCAAGACUGGAUCAGUAGAGGGCUCAAUGUAAUUUCAGUAGAGCGUGGGAUAUGUGAUUAUGGAGGUUCAACGUCAUAUUCAUUUUGUCCUCAGCAACAUACAGGUCAGCUAUUGUAAAAGUAGAUUUACCUAAUGAGACAAAAUGAGGAACCUACUGAUGUCCAUGUUGCAUAUCUUAAUCAUUCAGACCUUUUGGCUCAUCUGUAUUGUUGGGUCUGGUCACUUAUUUUCCUCUUGACAAUAUGUUCAGGACAGGUGAGUUGGCUGACCAACCAUGCACCGUAAUACCAUGGUCAGUAAAUCAGUUUCUAGUAAUUUAAGUCCUGCUGGAAAAGGAAAUCAGUAUCUCCAUAAAGCUCGUCAGCAGAUGGAAGCAUGAAGGGAGCUAAAAUCCCCUGGUAGACUGCUGUACUGACUCUGGACUUGAAGACACAGUGGACCAACACUAGCAGAUGACAUGGCACCCCAAACCGUCACUGACUGGAAACUUCACACUGAACUUCAAGCAACACGUCUGUGCGUUGUGGCUCUUGAUGCACUGACCCCAGGCUCAGUCCACCCCUUGCGAAGCUCCCUCAAGUUCUUGAAUUGGCUUUGCAGGACAAUCCUCUCAAGGUCAUCCCUAUUGCUUGUGUACCUUUUCCUACCACACUUUAACCUUUCAGUCAACUUUCCAUGAAUAUGCUUUGAUACAGCACUCUGAACAGCCAGCCCUUUCAGCAAUGACUUUCUGUGGUUUACCCUCAUCGUGGAGGGUGGCAGUGAGUGUCUUGAAGUUUUCCAUGAUUGUGGUUGUGUGUAUUGAACCAGACUGAGAUUAAAGGCUUCUCUCGGGUCAACAUUUCUGUACUAUACGUUCUUUAUUGAAAUACUUUGAGAGAUGGAUUUUUGAUUUCCAUGAGAUGUAAGUCAUAAUCAUCAAGAUUAAAAAAAGAUUGAAAAUGAAUUUUCCACAAUAUUCUAACUUUCUGAGAUGCACCUGUAUGUCUUAUGUUACGGUUCUGGAGGUGUGUGUUUCAUGUUUCCUAUUUUACUUUGUCUGCCCCUGUUGUCCUGGUCUUGUCUGGUGCAGGAGUCUGCAACCUGCGGCU